rnacentral:rRNA from 1 species
UACGGAGGAUGCGAGCGUUAUCCGGAUUUAUUGGGUUUAAAGGGUGCGUAGGCGGGCUUUUAAGUCAGCGGUAAAAAUUCGGGGCCCAACCCCGUCCGGCCGUUGAAACUGGGGGUCUUGAGUGGGCGAGAAGAAGGCGGAAUGCGUGGUGUAGCGGUGAGAUGCAUAGAUAUCACGCAGAACUCCGAUUGCGAAGGCAGCGUACCGGCAUCCAACUGACGCUGAGGCACGAAAGCGUGGGGAUCAAACAGG